rnacentral:rRNA from 1 species
GACGAACGCUGGCGGCGUGCUUAACACAUGCAAGUCGAACGGAAAGGCCCUGCUUUUGUGGGGUUCUCGAGUGGCGAACGGGUGAGUAACACGUGAGUAACCUGCCCUUGACUUUGGGAUAACUUCAGGAAACUGGGGCUAAUACCGGAUAGGAGCUCCUGCUGCAUGGUGGGGGUUGGAAAGUUUCGGCGGUUGGGGAUGGACUCGCGGCUUAUCAGCUUGUUUGUGGGGUAGUGGCUUACCAAGGCUUUGACGGGUAGCCGGCCUGAGAGGGUGACCGGACACAAUGGGACUGAGAUACGGACCAGACGCCAACGGGAGGCAGCAGUGGGGAAUAUAGCACAAUGGGCGGAAGCCUGAUGAAGAAACGCAGCGUGCGGGAUGACGGCCUUCGGGUUGUAAAAAGAAUUAGAAUGUGACGAAGCGUGAGUGACGGUAAUGGGUAAAGAAGCACCGGCUAACUACGUG